GAGUUUGAUCCUGGCUCAGGACGAACGCUGGCGGCGUGCCUUAUGCAUGCAAGUCGAACGAGUUUCCCCGCAAGGGGAAAUUAGUGGCAGACGGCUGAGUAACACGUGAGCAACUAACCUUUGAGUGGGGAAUAAGCCGCCGAAAGGUGGUCUAAUACCGCAUACGCUUGCUCCUCGCAUGUGGAGCUUGGAAAGCCGAAAGGCGCUCUUAGACGGGCUUGCGGCCUAUCAGGUAGUUGGUGAGGUAACGGCCCACCAAGCCGAAGACGGGUAACUGGUCUGAGAGGACGGCCAGUCAGAAGGGGACUGAGACACGGCCCCUACUCCUACGGGAGGCAGCAGCAGGGAAUCUUGCACAAUGGGCGAAAGCCUGAUGCAGCGACGCCGCGUGAGGGAUGAAGGCUUUCGGGUCGUAAACCUCUUUUCCAGGGGAAGAAUAAUGACUGUACCUUGGGAAUAAGCCCCGGCUAACUACGUGCCAGCAGCCGCGGUAAUACGUAGGGGGCGAGCGUUGUCCGGAUUUACUGGGCGUAAAGGGCGUGUAGGUGGCUUGGCAAGUCUUUGUUGAAAUCUCCCGGCUUAACUGGGAGGAGUGCAGAGAUACUGCUUGGCUAGAGGGACGUAGGGGAGAGUGGAAUUCCCGGUGUAGCGGUGAAAUGCGUAGAUAUCUGGAGGAACACCGGUGGCGAAGGCGGCGAUCUGGCCCAACACUGACACUCAGACCCGAAAGUGCGGGGAUCAAACAGGAUUAGAUACCCUGGUAGUCCGCACCGUAAACGAUGGAUACUUGGUGUUGGAGGUAUUGACCCCUUCAGUGCCGAAGCUAACGCGUUAAGUAUCCCGCCUGGGAAGUACGGCCGCAAGGUUAAAACUCAAAGAAAUUGACGGGGGCCCGCACAAGCGGUGGAGCAUGUGGUUUAAUUCGAUGCAACGCGAAGAACCUUACCUAGGUUUGACAUGGAUUGGAAGGAUGGCAGAAAUGCCUCCGCUCGAAAGAGCCGAUUCACAGGUGCUGCAUGGCUGUCGUCAGCUCGUGUCGUGAGAUGUUGGGUUAAGUCCCGCAACGAGCGCAACCCCUGUGUUUAGUUGCCAGCAUUAGGUUGGGCACUCUAAACAGACUGCCGACGUUAAGUCGGAGGAAGGUGGGGAUGACGUCAAGUCCUCAUGGCCUUUAUAUCUAGGGCUACACACGUGCUACAAUGGUGAGUACAAAGGGAAGCAAAGUAGCAAUACCAAGCCAAUCCCAAAAAACUCAUCUAAGCUCGGAUUGGAGUCUGAAACUCGACUCCAUGAAGCUGGAAUCGCUAGUAAUCGCGGAUCAGAACGCCGCGGUGAAUACGUUCCCGGGCCUUGCACACAC
rnacentral:rRNA from 1 species